rnacentral:rRNA from 1 species
UAUUACGGGAAGGCAUCUUUCUGUAAUGAAAGCUCCGGCGGUUGAAGAUGAGCAUGCGCGACAUUAGCCAGUUGGUGAGGUAACGGCUCACCAAGGCUACGAUGUCUAGGGGUUCUGAGAGGAUUCACCCCCACACUGGUACUGAGACACGGACCAGACUCCUACGGGAGGCAGCAGUAAGGAAUAUUGGUCAAUGGGCGCAAGCCUGAACCAGCCAUGCCGCGUGCAGGAUGACAGCCCUACGGGUUGUAAACUGCUUUUGUACGGGAAAAAACCUUCGGUCGUGUACCGGAGCUGAUGGUACCGUAAGAAUAAGCAUCGGCUAACUCCGUGCCAGCAGCCGCGGUAAUCGGAGGAUGCAAGCGUUAUCCGGAUUCAUUGGGUUUAAAGGGUGCGCA